CUAAGAAUAUUCCGCAAUGGACGAAAGUCUGACGGAGCGACGCCGCGUGGAUGAGGAAGGCCGAAAGGUUGUAAAGUCCUUUUGUCGAUGAAGAAUAAGUGGUGGAGGGAAUGCCAUCAUGAUGACGUUAGUCGGCGAAUAAGCCCCGGCUAAUUACGUGCCAGCAGCCGCGGUAACACGUAAGGGGCAAGCGUUGUUCGGAAUUAUUGGGCGUAAAGGGUACGUAGGCGGUUAUGUAAGCCCGGCGUGAAAUCCUGCAGCUUAACUGUAGAGCUGCGCUGGGAACUGCGUGACUUGAGUCAUGGAAGGGAAGUUAGAAUUCCAGGUGUAGGGGUGAAAUCUGUAGAUAUCUGGAAGAAUACCGGUGGCGAAGGCGAACUUCUGGCCAAUGACUGACGCUGAGGUACGAAAGUGCGGGGAGCAAACAG
rnacentral:rRNA from 1 species